AAAUUGAAGAGUUUGAUCAUGGCUCAGAUUGAACGCUGGCGGCAGGCCUAACACAUGCAAGUCGAACGGUAGCACAGAGAGCUUGCUCUCGGGUGACGAGUGGCGGACGGGUGAGUAAUGUCUGGGAAACUGCCCGAUGGAGGGGGAUAACUACUGGAAACGGUAGCUAAUACCGCAUAACGUCGCAAGACCAAAGUGGGGGACCUUCGGGCCUCACACCAUCGGAUGUGCCCAGAUGGGAUUAGCUAGUAGGUGGGGUAACGGCUCACCUAGGCGACGAUCCCUAGCUGGUCUGAGAGGAUGACCAGCCACACUGGAACUGAGACACGGUCCAGACUCCUACGGGAGGCAGCAGUGGGGAAUAUUGCACAAUGGGCGCAAGCCUGAUGCAGCCAUGCCGCGUGUAUGAAGAAGGCCUUCGGGUUGUAAAGUACUUUCAGCGAGGAGGAAGGCGUUGUGGUUAAUAACCACAGCGAUUGACGUUACUCGCAGAAGAAGCACCGGCUAACUCCGUGCCAGCAGCCGCGGUAAUACGGAGGGUGCAAGCGUUAAUCGGAAUUACUGGGCGUAAAGCGCACGCAGGCGGUUUGUUAAGUCAGAUGUGAAAUCCCCGGGCUCAACCUGGGAACUGCAUUUGAAACUGGCAAGCUUGAGUCUCGUAGAGGGGGGUAGAAUUCCAGGUGUAGCGGUGAAAUGCGUAGAGAUCUGGAGGAAUACCGGUGGCGAAGGCGGCCCCCUGGACAAAGACUGACGCUCAGGUGCGAAAGCGUGGGGAGCAAACAGGAUUAGAUACCCUGGUAGUCCACGCCGUAAACGAUGUCUACUUGGAGGUUGUGCCCUUGAGGCGUGGCUUCCGGAGCUAACGCGUUAAGUAGACCGCCUGGGGAGUACGGCCGCAAGGUUAAAACUCAAAUGAAUUGACGGGGGCCCGCACAAGCGGUGGAGCAUGUGGUUUAAUUCGAUGCAACGCGAAGAACCUUACCUGGUCUUGACAUCCACGGAAGUUUUCAGAGAUGAGAAUGUGCCUUCGGGAACCGUGAGACAGGUGCUGCAUGGCUGUCGUCAGCUCGUGUUGUGAAAUGUUGGGUUAAGUCCCGCAACGAGCGCAACCCUUAUCCUUUGUUGCCAGCGGU
rnacentral:rRNA from 2 species